GCGCUGCGUGCCCCGUGCCUGUGCCUGUGCCCCAGCACAGCUGUAGCCCCACAGCAAUCAGGGACAGAGCCAAUAAAGCGGGCAGAGGGAACCCAGGCCUGGUUUGGAGGGUGCCUGAGGGUCAUGGGUUUCUGAGUAGCUGUGUGGAGCGCAGCGUUGGCUGCCUCUGCGCCACCCCGACUGCUGCUCGAGCUCCUCGUGGACAUGAUUGCCUCAGUCCCAGCCCUGGAAGGAGUCCCGGUGAACGCUGACUAAGAGCCUGAGUUUCCUUGGGACUCUACAUAGAAUAUUAUUGGAGUUGUGGAAGUUGAAGCCAGAAACACAACUGCAUCCAGCUGAAACUUGAGAGGAUGGAGAAACCUCGCACAUUGUGGCUUGGAUCCUCAGGAAAAAAACUGCAGAUUGGUAAGUGCUUUUAGUGCACGCAGGUUUAUGCCGCUUUUCUAUGGAAAUAAAUAUUGCCAGCUUUGCCACUACAAAAAAGUUCUUGGAGUCCAAGACCAUCACAUCUUGCCAAGUAUAGCAAACCACUUCUAUCAGAGGAGACAUUUUGCACUAGAUAAACUUGGAGCUUGUGUUACUGCAACUCUAAUUCAAAGUUCCCAUCCAGUGUAACAGUUUAUUUUCCUUUAGCAUAUGUAACUUGUUAUAUUUUUUAUUAAGUGCCAUUGCUAAACUGACUAUAGGGUGUGCUGCUUGAAAAUGUAGUUUACACAAUCUAUGUGACAGAAAGUUACAUAUUAGCCACUUUUUAAGUUUCCAAAAUCUACUUAUGUGCCUUGUAGAGUAUCUUUUAUAAUGCUUAUCUGGUGAAUGAAAUAGCUUUUUUUUUUCUUUCCUGUCGGCAUUGUGAUAAAGAAUGGAUUAAAGGAACACAUGGCUAGCUUGGCAUUUUGUCAAGAUAUUUUUUCAGUGUUACUUUAAAGAACUAUUUCAGUCAAAUUCUGUGUUACUAAAUGAACGAAUGUUGAAAAAUUUUCACAAGGGUUUUUCCAGAAUAUUGUAUAUUGCUUACCUGU